rnacentral:piRNA from 1 species
UAGGUGACUGUGCCUGUCUUAGGCCCAUCUCU